ACGGAAGCGUAAAUACCGGCAACGUGGGCGACGGCAGCUUUGACGACAACAGCAAAAACAACCAAUUCUGGUCAGUGGACUCCGGAAGCGUAAACACCGGCAACGUGGGUGACGGCAGCUUUGACGACAACAGCCAAAACAACCAAUUCUAGUCAGCGUACGAGGCUCCCAGAAACCCACCACGACAACUGCCCUGAUGCUUUCUGUCCCGUGCUCUCACCCAUCUCAGCCUGACCAUGAGUAACGCAGCACUCUCCAGUGGAAUUUGAUUUUGCCUUGUUCAAUGAUUUGACUG